rnacentral:rRNA from 1 species
UACGUAGGGGGCAAGCGUUGUCCGGAUUUAUUGGGCGUAAAGAGCGUGUAGGCGGUUUGGUAGGUCCGCUGUGAAAACUCGAGCUCAACCUCGAGACGCCGGUGGAAACCAUCAGACUAGAGUCCGGAAGAGGAGAGUGGAAUUCCCGGUGUAGCGGUGAAAUGCGCAGAUAUCGGGAAGAACACCCGUGGCGAAGGCGGCUCUCUGGGACGGUACUGACGGCUGAGACGCGAAAGCGUGGGGAGCGAACAGG